ACAAACUUUUGCUUAAACUUUGACUCAGUGCAGGAUUUCUUAUCUAGUGCAGUUGUGGAGUUGCAGAGCAGUAGGGUCCCGGGGUUUACAAAUGUACUUCAGAAAGAGAUGCGACAAUUACAGAAACACCUACAGUGAAGGAACCAGAUGUGCUCGACUGUGUGAAAGCCUGCUUUACAGGGUUGGAAGACUACAAUCAAGUCUGUUGAAGAAGAGGAGACCAUUCCACUGCAGACACAGGACACAAGUAUGGGCAGCGUGUACUGGAAGAACAAUGAGCCAGAUUCAGAGGUGAUGAACACCCACAAUUUCAACAGAAGCCCUUGGGAGCACUGGGGAUCAAACUGAGCCCCACCAGAAUACAUACCAAACGCAAACCUUCUGAAUUUAAUAGAUCCCUGUGGAAACCACAGCCACAACCAAAUCCAUGUCCAGUCACUUGAAACUCAAAGGCUAGAAUCUGGUUUAAUUUAUGUAUGCAGUCUGUCUGUAUGUUUUUUAACUGCAUUUUUAAGCAUGACCCAGAUUCCAGAUAUAUUUAUACAUAAGAUGAAACACAAGUAUAAAUCCAAAGGAUUCGUAUAAAAUGCACUUAGUGUACCAGUUAUGAACCAGAUUUUAUCAAGGCAGCCACUAAACUGAAAGGAAAAUAUUCUACUCUACACAUCUCACCAUUCAAGAUUUUGAAAAGACAAAAAAAUGUAAGUAGUGCCUGAUCAUACAAGAGGUUCGUAGGGGUCUCCUGUCCCUUUCAAAUUAAUGGAUAUUUGUGUGGAAAUUUUGUGAAUCAUAUGAGCAGCAAGAUACUGUAUACAUCACAAAUAUUUCAAAAACACAGAUCCAUCUAAGUUCCUAUAUAUUAGUUGCUUUUGAUAAGCAGAUGUUGCAAGGUUAUAUUCCUGUAAUAAAAAAAACUUUACAUCAGAAGU